rnacentral:rRNA from 2 species
UCACGCCAUAAGAUUAGCCCAAGUGGGAUUAGCUAGUUGGUGAGGUAAUGGCUCACCAAGGCGACGAUCCCUAGCUGGUUUGAGAGGAUGAUCAGCCACACUGGGACUGAGACACGGCCCAGACUCCUACGGGAGGCAGCAGUGGGGAAUAUUGCACAAUGGGCGCAAGCCUGAUGCAGCCAUGCCGCGUGUGUGAAGAAGGCCUUCGGGUUGUAAAGCACUUUCAGUAAGGAGGAAAGGUUAAGUGUUAAUAGCACUUAGCUGUGACGUUACUUACAGAAGAAGCACCGGCUAACUCCGUGCCAGCAGCCGCGGUAAUACGGAGGGUGCGAGCGUUAAUCGGAAUUACUGGGCGUAAAGCGUACGCAGGCGGUUUGUUAAGCGAGAUGUGAAAGCCCCGGGCUCAACCUGGGAACUGCAUUUCGAACUGGCAAACUAGAGUGUGAUAGAGGGUGGUAGAAUUUCA